rnacentral:rRNA from 1 species
UACGUAGGGUGCGAGCGUUAAUCGGAAUUACUGGGCGUAAAGCGUGCGCAGGCGGUUCGUUGUGUCGGUGGUGAAAUCCCCGGGCUCAACCUGGGAAUUGCGAUGGAGACUGCAAGGCUAGAAUCUGGCAGAGGGGGGUAGAAUUCCACGGUGUAGCAGUGAAAUGCGUAGAGAUGUGGAGGAACACCGAUGGCGAAGGCAGCCCCCUGGGUCAAGAUUGACGCUCAUGCACGAAAGCGUGGGGAGCAAACAGG